UCCAAUUUUGCAGAAUUACCUUCCCUGGUUGGAACCCAAUCCCCCAACCUCAAGCUCUGCAGACAUCUUCCCUGAUCAAUGUCCUGUCCUCUUUUCUCUGUCAAGUUGUUCCUCCUUCCCGAGCUCUAUUGUGAUUUGGGGCACCUGAGGAAUUAACUAUUUCUCUCGUGUCUUUGCCUAACCACAGGUGAAUGUCUCGACCCGCUUUUAAGCUGGCUCCGCCCUCUGGACGCGUUCUUUUAAAGGUGGGAGCUCCGACGGAGGGCCCUGAUUCCGGCCUCGCUACCAGCUGGGCUGUGUGGGGGAGCGAGGCCUAAUAACCCAGGGGGCGCUGGGCGGGAACGGCGUGGAUCCCUCGGCCUCGCACACCUGGCUCCUAGUCCUCUCGGCCGGGCCGGUGAUCCUCUGGUCGGGGGUGGGGGUGGGGGGGGCUUGCGGCAGCUCACACCUGAGGCCGUUACAAAAGGCCUGCAGCUUAACUCGCUGCAGCUCGGGGGGAUGGAUUGCCUACUAACUGCAGGCGCCGUGGUGCGCCGAGAAAACAGCGAAAACUGGGCCAGCGGAGGCGGGUGGGCCUCCUUGGAGGAGCGCACCUGGGGUGCGGGAGCGCCUCCUGGCAGCCUUGGCCUCGCCUCCCACGCGUGGACGCGCAGGGCCCAGGACACCGCAGCCGCCUACUCCUUUCUGCAGCCCCGGGGUCUGAAGAAUGGCUAUUGCUGACUCCUGGAAUGCUGUUUGGAAAAGACUACGGAGAGAGUGAUUCUUCAUCAGUGAUUAAGCAUCUUUUCAUGAUUAAUGCAGAGCUGUGAGAAGACAGAAGCAGUGGAAUGACACCACAACAUCUGUGCAUUGAGAAGGGCACUCUGCUGCGGCAUGGCAGUCAAGGCUCAAUUGGAAUAAUCUGGAGAAGCUUUUCUACAAUGUCUACACUCCAGGGCCCACACCUGCCAAUGAAAUCUGUACCUUAAACCUGAAGAGGACCAGGUAUCAAUAUUCUUUGAAAAGCAGCCCAGAUGAUGCAGCUAGGUAGGUGUGGGAUUAACAGCACAGCCGGGAAGUUUCAAAUUGGAAGCACUUCAGAAACUGUCAUAUGCGAGAAAGAUGGUAUCUCAUUCAGACCGACCACCAUUUCCCAAAGAUUUCUCCCAGAUCACUACUUCCUCAAGAUGCCCAGAGAACAUAAUUCUGUGACCAAAUGCGUAUGAGAAAUGCUGCCAACUGCUGACUCCUAUCUUUGAGACUUAUCUACGUAGUGCUUUUAGUGCUUUUUUGUUAUGACCUUGGCUCACUGCAGCUUCACCCUCCUGGGCUCAAGCGAUCCUUCCACCUCAGCCCUUCAAGUAUCUGGGACUACAGACACCUGCCACCAUGUCUAGCUAAUUUUUGUAUUGUUUGUAGAGAUGGAGUUUCACCAUGUUGCCCAGGCUGGUCCUGGUCUGAAACUCCUGAACUCGAGUGAUUCUCCAGCCUCAGCCUCCCAAAGUGCUGAGAUGACAGGUGUGAGCCACUGUGUCUGGUCUGUAGUGCAUCUUAAUGUCUCUGAGAAAACCUGUGACCAAGAAAACUAUUACCUCGGCUUAAUCCAGUAAUUUUCCAGGAAAGCUGCUUUUUUAUUUCAUAGCACCUAACACCCUGUGGACCUCCAGAAAUGGUGAUUCACGAUGAGGAGGAAGAGUACUGAGCCCUGUCAAGGGCAGCAUUGGGUGAGGAGCCUCUCAAUUACAUGUUAGGAAGUGAAGACACCCAGACCUCGGAUUCCAAUUUUGAUGCUUCAGUUUUAAAAUGGUGGGGGGUGAGGGGCUGAUGGAGAAGAGUCUUUAUGGACACAAAUGGACCAGGGUGCUUUGACCUUUUGUUCUGUGGUCUCCUCACUUAUUAGGUCACAUAACCUUCAGUGGGCUACAUAAACCUCUUUUCUCAUCUUUAGCAGAACAAAAAUCUGUGGUCUGGGCUUAGGGGCCAGUUGGACUGGGCUUUGGUCAUUGAUUCGCGCUGGUCUUUGAAAUGUGAGUGGAAGGGACAGACAGGUGUUGAGUCCAAGCAGAAGCCUUCGAUGUUCUUGUGUGGCUUGGCUCUGCCUCUGUGCUUCUCCCUCCUCCUUGAGAACAAUAUGCCCCACAUGGGAGCUGCUCCUUUAGCCAGGCCUCCAGGACCAGAGGACAAAUGGGGCUGAGCACAACCAAGCCCAGCUGAGCCAGGUCAGGGUUCAAUGUAGCCUGAACAUGAAAUAAAUGUUUAUAAUUUUAAACCAGGAAAAUUUUGGUAUAGUUUAUUAUAACAAACUGCAAUCUAUAAACCUGAUUUGGGUCUGAUUUAAAGAAACCAAACAACCUCUAAAAAUUAGGAGGUAAACAGGAAAACUUGUACACUGACGUUAAGAAAUUGAUGUCAUUUUUUUUUACAAGAUGUUAUAGGACUGUUUCACUUGUGUUUAGGUAAAGAAUCCUUAUCUUCAGUGAUCCACGCUGAAAUACUUAUGCAUGAAACGGUAUAAUGGAAGGACAGGAAAGUGGGCAGAGUCAUAAAUGAAGUAAGAAUGUCCAGGUGUUGAUAAUUAUUGAAGCUGGGUAACGGAUAAUUGGGGGUUUACCAUAUUAUUCAACUUUUGUUUAUGUUCAAAAUUUUCUCUGAUUAAAAAGCUAGAAAAUCAACAUUCACACAAACUCUUCUCCAUAGGUUGAAAAUAGGUGGAGUAUCUUGUUAGGAUUAUUAUAAUCUUUUAAUUUUAUAGCACUGCCAAUGAGCCAUCCCUGCCAUAAAAGAGUCAGCCAGAGAUAACUGGUGACUUCCACCACGUAAUUAUUAUCACCGUUUAUUUCAGUGGAAACUGCUGCCUGUUUGGAUUUGGAGAACACUAAGAAAGAGAAAUGAAGAUCUGGAGAAUUCAAAGGAUAAUUAUCCCUUUUGAAUAUUGACACACUUACAUGUUUUUCCAGACGUAGAUUUUGUGUAGGCGAAAGCUAUUUGAUUAUAAAAGAUCCGGUUUCU
rnacentral:lncRNA from 10 species